UGGGGAAUAUUGGACAAUGGGCGCAAGCCUGAUCCAGCCAUGCCGCGUGAGUGAUGAAGGCCUUAGGGUUGUAAAGCUCUUUUACCAGGGAAGAUAAUGACGGUACCUGGAGAAUAAGCCCCGGCUAACUUCGUGCCAGCAGCCGCGGUAAUACGAAGGGGGCUAGCGUUGCUCGGAAUCACUGGGCGUAAAGCGCACGUAGGUGGGUCGUUAAGUCAGGGGUGAAAUCCCGGAGCUCAACUCCGGAACUGCCUUUGAUACUGGCUACCUUGGAGGCCGGGAGAGGUGAGUGGAACUGCGAGUGUAGAGGUGAAAUUCGUAGAUAUUCGCAAGAACACCAGUGGCGAAGGCGGCUCACUGACCCGGUACUGACACUGAGGUGCGAAAGCGUGGGGAGCAAACA
rnacentral:rRNA from 1 species